UUGUUCCUGUAUCUGGUUGUGUAUACUCUUUACCGGUGUAUACACGUUCACUUGGUUCACCGGCAGUAGGGGUGUGGCUGCGAAAUCUUUUUUGGGAGAGGGUCCUUUUGUCUCUGUUUUUGGCUUAGGGAGUUAGAGAAAUAUUUGUAUUUUCUUCGUUAUUUUCUUUUUAGGUAAGCUAGCUACCUAACAAUAGAAUCCUUUUGUUUAUUAAUUUGGCUUUGGCCCACCCUGAAGUUAUGCCUGGUUUGGUUCUUUGUAGAGUUGCAUGUUUAUAAUUCUGUGUUUUACAAUAUACCACAACUUUGUUUUGAACAACCCUGUUGUCUUGGUAUUCCUGGCUCCAUCAUUUUUUACGGUCAAAUUCCAUUGAAUCCCGAGCUGGUUACUCUGUGCGGCCUAACCUAGACUGGGCCGUAACACUAUAUUUAAUAUAUUUGUUAGUAGUUGUAGUUUACUCAGAAAACCUGAAAUGCAGGAUCACAGCAGAUGCAAAUAUCAAUCAAUUAAAAAAAAAAAAAAAAGAGAAAAUAAUCAAGUACAUGAAGUAUCCAGGGCGCAUGGUGGCUUAGUGGUUAGCACUAACCACUCACACCUCACACUUCCAGGGUCCUAGGUUCGAGUCCUGCCGGGGCCAUGUGUGUGCGGAGUUUGCAUGUUCUCCCCAUGCUGCGGGGGUUUCCUCCAGGUAUUCUGGUAUCCUCCCCCAGUCCAUAGACAUGCAUGGUAGGCUGAUUGGCAUGUCUAAAUGGGUGUGUGAGUGUGUAUGUGAGUGAGCCCUGCGAUGGAUUGGCACCCUGUCCAGGGUGUACCCCGCCUUGUGCCCGAUGCUCCCUGGGAUAGGCUCCAGGUUCCCCGUGACCCUGAAAAGGAGUAAGCGGUAGAAGAUGGAUGGAUGGAUGAAGUAUCCAGCCCUCAUCAGCAGUUAAACUGUUAGAACCCAUUGAAAACACAGGAAAAAAGUAUUGAACACACUAACUGAAAUGUAUUUAAUAUUUAGUGAGUAAGCCUUUGUUUGUAAUGACAGCUUCAAGCCACUUCCUGUAUGAAGAAAUUAAUCUGUCGCAGUGUUCAGGUGUGAUUUUGGUCCAUUCUUCUAAACAUAUUGUCUUUAAAUCUUGUUCAAUUGGAUUCAAGUCAGGUAAUUGACUGGGCCAUUCUAACGCCUUGAUUUUUUUUCUCUGAAACCAAUUGAGAGUUUCCUUUGCUGUAUGCUUUGAAUUGUUGUCCUGCUGGAAGGUCCACCCACGUCUCAUCUUCAUCAUCCUGGUGGAUGGCAGCAGAUUCUUCUCAAGAAUCUCCCGGUAAAGGGCUUCAUUCAUUGUUCCUUCAAUAAUAUGAAGUCUGCCAGUACGAUGCGAUGAAAAAUAGCCCCACACCAUGAUACUUCCACCUCCAAACUUCACUGUUGGUAUAGUGUUUCUUCUCCAAACAUGGUGUGUAGUAUGAUAGCCAAAAAGUUACAUUUUGCUCUCGUCUGACCAGUUACACUCUCCCAGUAUUUCAUAGGCUUGACCAAAUGAGUUGUAGCAAACUGUAAACGAGCUUCAACAUACCUUUUCUUUAGUAAUGGAGUCUUGCGGGGUGAGCGUGAGCAGUGGAGUGCAUCGCCUAUUGUUUUCUCUGUGAGGAUGGCACCUGUUGUCUACAAGUGUUUCUGGAGCUCUUUCUGAGUGGUACUUGGUUCUUGGGCUACUCUUCUGACUAUUCCUCUGAUUCCCUGGUCAGAAAUCUUGCGAGGAGUUCCGGUGCAUGGCCGGUUGAUGAUGGAGUGAUGUUGCUUUCACUUGUGGUUAAUGGCCCCAGUGGUGCUUACUGAUGGAUUCAGAAGUUUUGAAAUACAUCUGUAUCCGAUUCCAUCAAUGUGAUUUGCAAAAAUAAGGUCUUGGGAGAGCUCUUUGCUUUUAUCCAUCAUAAGAUGUUUCUUGUGUGACACCUUGGUAACAAAAAGCCUUUUUAUAGACCAUCAAUUUACUAACCCAACUGAUAUUAAUUUGCACAGAUAGGAGGUAUAAUUACUUACGGAUUUCAGCUAGUUCCUUGCCUUACCUUGCCUUAGAGAACUGCUUUUUCUUAGCGUGUUCAAUACUUUUUCCCUGUGUCAUUCCACUUUAUUACGCAUAAAUUUAUUUAUGGACUUUAAUGUUGUGAAUUCUUUAUAUUACUAGAUUUCUUGAGUCAAUACUGAUGUCUGGUGAAAAUUUCAUGUGAAUAGCCUCAUUGGAAAUAUAUUUACUGAAAAAAAAAUGUUGACGCACCCAAUACUUAUUUCCCCCACUGUACAUCACUAACCAUGACAAAGACCUGAAAACCAUUAGUAACCUGCAAAGGGUAAUAUAUUUCUUUUCAGCAGCAGGAUAGACAAACCAAUAUAUAGACCAGGGGCUGUCAACUUGUGGACCUCUGUCUGGAUGCAACAAAGCACUUGAAGAAACAGAACCAAUCAACAUGUGGAAAAACCAGACAUAAUGCAUUGGCUCCAGUAUUUCAAACAUGAACCGUCACAGCUUUGGUAACAGAUCCAGGGGCAUAGCCAAACCAUUCACAAUGUUGCAGACAAGUUUGAUCCAAUGACAUUUUUAGGGUGUCAGUCUAGGCUGUCUCAUCUACCCCAUCUGAGUCCAUGACGCUAGUCAAAAGUGGUAACAUUUAACGCCAGUGAGAAACAAAACAUAGUAAGUUCAAACUGAUUUGUCUUAUUGAUAAACACGAAUUAGUACUAAUGUUUAAGCAUUAAAAGGCAGUAAAUGGUUGUCACCAUUCAGUCACGUCAGUUUCUUAUCCAGACCUUAUAAGCAAGGAACUUAUAAGCAAGGCAGAGGUAGCUCAGUGAUUAAGACAUUGGGCUACUGGUUGGAAGGUCAUGGGUUUAAACCCCAGCACCGCCAAUCUGCUACUGUUGGACCGUUCAACAAGGCCCUUAACCCUCAACUGCUCAGAUGUAUAAAUGAGAUCAAUGUAAGUCGUUCUGGAUAAGGGCGUCUGCCAAAUGCCAUAAAUGUAAAUGUAAUGUAAUGGAACUGUAUGUACCCUUGAUAUAGGCUAUAGCCUACAUGAUAACUUUUUACCAUCAGGCACACCUUUAGUUGUUAAAAAUAAAUAAAUAAACAUCCACAGACCGCCUUAUCACAAAUUUAUUCUACAAAAUAUUCACAUAUUAACCUGCUUGUUCAAAUCUAUACAAUAAUAUUAUGGUCAUGAUGCUUUUUAUUCCUGAACUUUCCAUUGACAGAAGACAAGCUGAUAUU